rnacentral:rRNA from 1 species
UACGUAGGGGCCGAGCGUUGUCCGGAAUUAUUGGGCGUAAAGAGCUUGUAGGCGGUUUGUCGCGUCUGCUGUGAAAAUCCGGGGCUCAACCCCGGACUUGCAGUGGGUACGGGCAGACUAGAGUGUGGUAGGGGAGACUGGAAUUCCUGGUGUAGCGGUGAAAUGCGCAGAUAUCAGGAGGAACACCGAUGGCGAAGGCAGGUCUCUGGGCCACUACUGACGCUGAGAAGCGAAAGCAUGGGGAGCGAACAGGAUUAGAUACCCCGGUA